rnacentral:rRNA from 1 species
CGUUGUCCGGAUUAUUGGGCGUAAAGAGCUUGUAGGCGGUUUGUCGCGUCUGCUGUGAAAGGCCGGGGCUUAACUCCGUGUAUUGCAGUGGGUACGGGCAGACUAGAGUGCAGUAGGGGAGACUGGAAUUCCUGGUGUAGCGGUGGAAUGCGCAGAUAUCAGGAGGAACACCGAUGGCGAAGGCAGGUCUCUGGGCUGUAACUGACGCUGAGAAGCGAAAGCAUGGGGAGCGAACAGGAUUAGAUACCCUGGUAGUCCAUGCCGUAAACGUUGGGCACUAGGUGUGGGGAACAUUCCACGUUUUCCGCGCCGUAGCUAACGCAUUAAGUGCCCCGCCUGGGGAGUACGGCCGCAAGGCUAAAACUCAAAGAAAUUGACGGGGGCCCGCACAAGCGGCGGAGCAUGCGGAUUAAUUCGAUGCAACGCGAAGAACCUUACCAAGGCUUGACAUAUACUGGACCGCAUCAGAGAUGGUGUUUCCCUUCGGGGCUGGUAUACAGGUGGUGCAUGGUUGUCGUCAGCUCGUGUCGUGA